GUUUUGACCUGUUUUGUUUGCAACAGGGCAGGUAUAGUAGAAAUGGUCCGUGUGCUCACACAGCACCCCUCAGCUGUGUGUGUGGGGACGACACGACACAGCGCUCACCAUCCAUACCUGAGUGCAUGGAGGAAGUAAUAAUAUCCUCUGAUGCUAGCUAUUGGUAGCUGCUUUAUUGGGAUUUUCCUGCAGAGCCCGCUGUCAAAGAGGCAGACCAGUAUAGCAAAUUUCAUAGAUGUGUCAUGCAUGACUUCGAGGACCGCUUUGGGGAAACUUUCGGAAGACCUUCGGAGGAUUGAGGAGGCGUCCGACAGAACAAUUAGUGAUAACUGACUUUGCAUCCUCUUCUCGAAGUUGUGCGAGACAUGGCCAGUCCACAUCACAAUGAUCUGUCGUUUGCAUGGGAGAAGUAUAUGGACUGUCGACUACAAGGAGCAGAUCUACAGGUCAGCCUCCAGUGCCUUGAGAACUUCCUCUGCCUCUUCCACUGUGUGCGUAAAGUCCACCUCCAUGUUACCCAGGACCUGCUGACCUUCUGCCGCAGAAGGAAGAAGAAAAGUCAGUCGGUCGCCCCCGAGGGAGCUAUGCCGACACAGGCAGGCGAGCAGGGGUUUACCUUGGAUUCGCGGAGGAGAGAAGAUGGCCGAGAGACGGACGCUGAGGCCUCCGGUGCUGGUGUGCACACUAGAAGUUUGGAUAAGGUCUACUCUUCUCAAUGUAAUUACGGUUGUCCAACAUCACGAGAUAAAAGCCUGAAUCACCUACACUGGUUAUCUCAUGUCUACCCUGUUAAGUCUUUUAAAACUAACAGAAUUCUUCUUCCAAGCUAACUAAAAUAUAUAUUCUACCCUUCUGUCUCUGUCUCUGUCUCUGUCUCUGUCUCUGUCUCUUUCUCUGUCUCUCUUUCUCUGUCUCUUGUCUCUGUCUCUUGUCUCUGUCUCUCUCUCUUCUGUCUCUGCUAUCUCCUCCAUCUUCUGUCUUGAUCCCAUCUCGGUCUCCAUCUCUGUCUCCUCUCUCUGUCUCUCUCUCUCUGUCUCCUCUCUCUCUCUGUCUCCUCUCUCUGUCUCCUCUCUCUGUCUCUCUCUCUCUGUCUCUCUGUCUCUGUCUCCUCUCAUUGUCUCUCUGUCUUUCGGUCUUGCUACUUCCUGUCUGGUUAUCCCCUCUAUCCUCUCUCCUGUCUCCGUCUCUCCUCUCUCCUGUCUCUCUCUCUCACUGUCUCUCUCUGUCUCCUCUCUCUGUCUCUCUGUCUUCCUGUCUCUCUCCUUCCUGUCUGUGUACCCCCUCUCUCCUCUCUCCUGUCUCCGUCUCUACUCUCUCCUGUCUCUGCCCCAUCUCUGUCUCCUCUCUCUGUCUAUGUCACUUAUCUCUCCUAUCUCUCUCUGUCUCCUGUCUCUCUCUCUGUCUCCUGUCUCUCUCCGUCUCUGCCCCAUCUCUGCCCCAUCUCUGUCUCUGUCUCUGUUUCUUAUCUCUCCUGUCUCUCUCUCUGUCUCCUGUCUCUCUCCGGUCUCCGUCCCGUCUGCGUCCCCCUCCCUGUCUCUCUCCUAUCUCUCUGUCUCCUGUCUCUCUCCUAUCUCUCUCUGUCUCCUGUCUCUCUCCGGUCUCCGUCCCGUCUCCGUCCCCCUCCCUGUCCCCUCCCCUGUCUCUCUCUCUC
ensembl:lncRNA